rnacentral:tRNA from 1 species
UUGGCUCAGUGGUAGAGUACUUGCCUUGCAAGCAUGAGGUCCUGGGUUAGAUUCCUAAA